rnacentral:lncRNA from 1 species
UCAAAAUCUCCACUUACCUUAUCAACCUCACUCUCUUUCACAUUCUCAUUCCAGCCAUAACCCUCAUCAUCAUCCCAACCAUCAUUAUCAUCACUCUCUUAUGCUUCACCUGUUUCCGGGGCACAACCACCUUCACCACCCAAUUCCUCACCACCAUAUUCUCCACUACCAGCUACAAAGUCCGAAUCUUUUUUCUCAUUUUCAGCUACCAUUUCAUCCUCAU